CCUACGGGCGGCAGCAGUGGGGAAUAUUGGACAAUGGGGGGAACCCUGAUCCAGCCAUGCCGCGUGUGUGAAGAAGGCCCUCGGGUUGUAAAGCACUUUCAGUGAGGAAGAACGCCUGGUGGUUAAUACCCAUCAGGAAAGACAUCACUCACAGAAGAAGCACCGGCUAACUCCGUGCCAGCAGCCGCGGUAAUACGGAGGGUGCGAGCGUUAAUCGGAAUUACUGGGCGUAAAGCGCGCGUAGGUGGCUUGAUAAGCCGGUUGUGAAAGCCCCGGGCUCAACCUGGGAACGGCAUCCGGAACUGUCAAGCUAGAGUGCAGGAGAGGAAGGUAGAAUUCCCGGUGUAGCGGUGAAAUGCGUAGAGAUCGGGAGGAAUACCAGUGGCGAAGGCGGCCUUCUGGACUGACACUGACACUGAGGUGCCAAAGCGUGGGUAGCAAACAGGAUUAGAUACCCGUGUAGUC
rnacentral:rRNA from 1 species